CGAAAGCCUGACGGAGCAACGCCGCGUGAGGGAUGAAGGCCUCUGGGCUGUAAACCUCUUUUCUCAAGGAAGAAGAUCUGACGGUACUUGAGGAAUAAGCCACGGCUAAUUCCGUGCCAGCAGCCGCGGUAAUACGGGAGUGGCAAGCGUUAUCCGGAAUUAUUGGGCGUAAAGCGUCCGCAGGCGGCCUAUCAAGUCUGUCGUUAAAGCGUGGAGCUUAACUCCAUUUGAGCGAUGGAAACUGAAAGGCUAGAGUGUGGUAGGGGCAGAGGGAAUUCCCGGUGUAGCGGUGAAAUGCGUAGAUAUCGGGAAGAACACCAGUGGCGAAGGCGCUCUGCUGGGCCAUAACUGACGCUCAUGGACGAAAGCCAGGGGAGCG
rnacentral:rRNA from 1 species